rnacentral:rRNA from 1 species
UACGGGGGGGGCAAGCGUUGUUCGGAAUUACUGGGCGUAAAGGGCUCGUAGGUGGCCAACUAGGUCAGACGUGAAAUCCCUCGGCUUAACCGGGGAACUGCGUCUGAUACUGGAUGGCUUGAGUUUGGGAGAGGGAUGCGGAAUUCCAGGUGUAGCGGUGAAAUGCGUAGAUAUCUGGAGGAACACCGGUGGCGAAGGCGGCAUCCUGGACCAACACUGACACUGAGGAGCGAAAGCCAGGGGAGCAAACGGG